AGCUUGCCUGAAACUAUAAGGACUACUUUGAUAAAGCAGACAUGGAAUUAAACCAUACUCCCACUUCCCG
rnacentral:tRNA from 1 species